GACGAACGCUGGCGGCGUGCCUAACACAUGCAAGUCGAACGGAGUGGCGAACGGGUGAGUAACACGUGGGUGAACUGCCUUGCACUUCGGGAUAAGCUUGGGAAACUGGGUCUAAUACCGGAUAGUGCAAGAUGAGCUCGCUGCCUAUCAGCUUGUUGGUGGGGUAAUGGCCUACCAAGGCGUCGACGGGUAGCCGGCCUGAGAGGGUGUACGGCGCCAAUGGGCCUGAGAGACGGACCAGUAUCCUACGGGCGGCAGCAGUGGGGAAUAUUGCACAGUGGGGGGAAGCCUGAUGCAGCGACUCCGCGUGGGGAAUGAAGGCUUUCGGGUUGUAAACUCCUUUCGACAGGGACGCGGUACCUGUAUAAGAAGCACCGGCUAACUACGUGCCAGCAGCCGCGGUAAUAC
rnacentral:rRNA from 1 species